rnacentral:rRNA from 1 species
UGUAUAAGUUAUAAAGUCUAGCCUGCCCACUGAUUGAUUUAAAGGGCCGCGGUAAUUUGACCGUGCGAAGGUAGCAUAGUCAGUAGUCUUUUAAUUGAAGGCUUGAAUGAAAGGUUGGACGAGGGAUGAGCUGUCUCCUUUAUGUAAUUUGAAUUUAACUUUUGAGUGAAAAGGCUCAAAUUAUUUAGUGGGACGAUAAGACCCUAUAAAACUUUAUAUAAGUUUAAUUUGGCUUACAAUUUGAGUGAAAAGUAGCUUUAUUAGGCUUAUAUUUCGUUGGGGAGAUGUAGAUAUAAUGUGUAACUGUCUAUUUAAUUUAAUAAUUAUAAUUAGUGUGUGAUCCUUCUUUGUGGAUUAAAAGUAUAAGUUACUUUAGGGAUAACAGCGUGAUUUUCUUUGAGAGUUUUUAUCGACAAGAGUA